rnacentral:rRNA from 1 species
UAAUACGGAGGGUGCAAGCGUUAAUCGGAAUUACUGGGCGUAAAGCGCUCGUAGGCGGUUUGUUAAGUCGGAUGUGAAAGCCCCGGGCUCAACCUGGGAACUGCAUUCGAUACUGGCAAACUAGAGUAUAGAAGAGGCAAGUGGAAUUCCGGGUGUAGCGGUGAAAUGCGUAGAUAUCCGGAGGAACAUCAGUGGCGAAGGCGACUUGCUGGUCUAAUACUGACGCUGAGGAGCGAAAGCGUGGGGAGCAAACGGGAUUAGAUACCCCGGUAGUCCACGCCGUAAACGAUGUCAACUAGCCGUUGGGGGUCUUAGUACCUUUAGUGGCGCAGCUAACGCAUUAAGUUGACCGCCUGGGGAGUACGGUCGCAAGACUA